CCGUACCUCAAUAAAUAUGGUAGAACCAACCUUUUUACACAGUUUUUAAAAACAGAUGACGCGCGUAUGUUAGACUUAAACAAGAUUGCAAUACAAUAAAAUUUUUCGAUUUUCAUUGACGGAUAAGUGUAUUAAAUGUUUUUUAAAAUGCUGAGCAUUCAAAAAGAAAGAGU